rnacentral:lncRNA from 1 species
UUGCGUUUUGAAAAGCACUCGCUUCGUCUUUCCAACAAGACGCGUAGGUUCGGCGCUCCGAUUUGCAUUUAAGCUGUCAUCUUCUCGGAAGCAGGCGCUCAUGCUUGGAGACCUGCAGAGCACGAACUGCAGCAUGUGUGGCGAGCCCGGGAGACAGCAAGAGCCACAGGAGUCCUGGACUAAGGGCGCCUCCCACACAAGCAGAAAGACACCCGCUUUUUCUUUAUUUUUUUAAUAAAUGUUUUUCCUUGUCCUUAUAAUGUUCUUUAAUACAAUGGUUUACCUGACUUGGAGGCAGUUUUAUCUCUGGAGCUCCUAUCUGAAUACAUGGGAAAAGAGAAAUAGUUUUUCUCUGAAGCCAGCAACGGAAUUC